UUCUAAUGUGGCAGACUAGUGCGAUGAAUUUAAGAUUCAUAUAUAAAUAAAUAUUUUAUUAGAAA
rnacentral:tRNA from 1 species